UACGUGAGGGGCGAACGUUGUUCGGUGUCACUGGGCUUAAAGGGCGCGUAGGUGGCUGCGUAAGUAAGGUGUGAAAGCCCUCGGCUUACCCGGGGAAUUGCGCCUUAUACUGCGUGGCUUGAGGAUUUCAGGGGAAGGGGGAACUCCAGGUGUAGCGGUGAAAUGCGUAGAUAUCGUAAGGAAGACCAGUGGCGAAGGCGGGUCUCUGGACAGUUCCUGACGCUGAGGCACGAAGGUCAGGGGAGCAAACGGG
rnacentral:rRNA from 1 species